rnacentral:rRNA from 1 species
GUGGGGAAUAUUGGACAAUGGGCGCAAGCCUGAUCCAGCCAUGCCGCGUGAGUGAUGACGGCCUUAGGGUUGUAAAGCUCUUUUACCUGGGAAGAUAAUGACGGUACCAGGAGAAUAAGCCCCGGCUAACUUCGUGCCAGCAGCCGCGGUAAUACGAAGGGGGCUAGCGUUGUUCGGAUUUACUGGGCGUAAAGGGCGCGUAGGCGGAUUGAUAAGUCAGGGGUGAAAUCCCAAGGCUCAACCUUGGAACUGCCUUUGAUACUGUUAGUCUUGAGUUCGAGAGAGGUAAGUGGAACUGCGAGUGUAGAGGUGAAAUUCGUAGAUAUUCGCAAGAACACCAGUGGCGAAGGCGGCUUACUGGCUCGAAACUGACGCUGAGGCGCGAAAGCGUGGGGAGCAAACAGG